GCAGAAUGAGGAGGGAGGUCUAUAGGGGCCUUCUGUAUCCCAUCCUAGAGCUCUUCAAACUGGUAUCUGUCCAUUGUGGUCUGUGGAAGAAGAAGGCACAAAUGGUCCAGGUCCAGGGGCAGGAGAUAGACUCUCUUUACUCAGUGAGAAGAAAAAUCAGAGAAAUGAGGAAAGUUGAAAUUGUAAUGCGUGUUAACUAUCAAACACACCGCUGCACUCUGCACAGGACAUGAGAUCUACUAUCACUGUUAACCGCCACCUCCGGUAUCAUCGUAGUCAUCUCUGUGACCUCCAUCAGUAUUGUCAGCAGCAUCAGCAGCAUCAAUGACAUCAGCGUCACCACAAUCGCUAUCGUCAUCACUGUAACAAUUGUCAACAUCAUUACCAUCAGCAACAUCAUUGUCAGCACUCCUGACAUCAUUAUCAUAGUGGUUAUCACCAUAACCUUCGCCAUCACUGUCACUGUCAGCAUCACCAUUAAUCAUGACGAACAUUAUUGGAGUCUUCGUGACAGUCAUCACCAUUAUCAGCCUUUAUUGUUCACCAUCUCGGCCAUCACUACCACCAUCGUUAUCACUGUCAACAUGGCCCUCAGCAUCCACUAACGCCACCAUCAUCUCCAUCACCAUGACCACUGUCAUCACAGAUAUCAGCAUCACCAUCAGCACCAUCGGCCCCAACCAUCAGCACAUCUUCUCACUUCCCUCUUCUGCCUCUUUGCUUUUCCUUUAUACACAUCUGGUCUCCCUUUAAAUAAUCCUUAGCAAUGGGGCUCUGUUGAGAGUAAGUACCAUUUAGACCUAUUAAGUUAAGAGUCAGGACAAACACACAUGAGGAGUUUGAGACCCAAACCUCGUUGGGAAGCCGGAGAGUGUUCAGAGCGUUCUAUCACAACUGAAAGCAUAGUAUGUGGGUGUGUGUGUGAUGUGGGCUUCCUGGGCAGAGGAAAAGCACGAGGAUGCUGUCAAGGCUGGCAGAGAACCAUGGGCACCAAGGCGGAGCUUGAAGGCUGACUCUAUCCUUGGUUUCGUUGGGGCCCUGGACAUCAUUUCCUGUAGGUCACCUUGACACUGGACGUAGCUUUGGCAGGCUUACCCAGGAGCAAAUAGACCAAGGUGUCUCCGAGCAUGUCUGCCAAGACAAAUGGACCCCAUCUUUAUACUUAGGAUUGAAACCCGUGAAGAGCUCACAUGUGAGUUCUGCUUCGCCCAAGUAUGAUGCAUUAUGAGAGAGAUCGCCAGAACUUUUCAGCCAAACCCGAGGAGCCCGCGAAUGGGAACUUCCCAAACAUCCCUUUACUGACUGUGAGCAAUGAAUGGCACAAACGUGACGUUCUGUUCAUGUCCUCCACUGAGUGUCCACGGGGAAUCUGCUUUCUCUGUUCUUUUGGCCACGUGUUGUUAAUAAAUUGAAUGUCAGUACUCCCUUAAA